rnacentral:lncRNA from 1 species
GGACAGAGAAAAGGACAGUGGGGAGAGCAUUGGAGGCUGAGAGGAUGUCCGCGUAUCCUUUGCCCGGCCGUGUGGGCAACAGUGGUACCUCACGAGGCCCCGAGACCAGAGAUCCCAGGAGUGACCUUGAUGGAAGCAGUGACCUCUUGGUGGCUCUGAUAAAAGCUGGCACACUGCAAGCUGAAUGUGGCAGAGGUGACGCAGUCUGAGAUCGGGCAGAAGCAGAAGUUGCAGACAGUUCUGGAAGCCGUGCAAGACCUGCUCCGGCCCCACGGCUGGCCGCUGCGUUGGAAUGUGGACUCUAUCCACGGGAAGAACCUGGUGUCCAUUCUGCACCUCCUCGUCUCCCUGGCCAUGCACUUCAGGGCCCCCAUCCACCUUCCUGAACACGUCACCG